GGGUUGUGAGGUUAAGCGACUAAGCGUACACGGUGGAUGCCCUGGCAGUCAGAGGCGAUGAAGGACGUGCUAAUCUGCGAUAAGCGUCGGUAAGGUGAUAUAAACCGUUAUAACCGGCGAUUUCCGAAUGGGGAAACCCAGUGUGAUUCGUCACACUAUCAUUAACUGAAUCCAUAGGUUAAUGAGGCGAACCGGGGGAACUGAAACAUCUAAGUACCCCGAGGAAAAGAAAUCAACCGAGAUUCCCCCAGUAGCGGCGAGCGAACGGGGAGCAGCCCAGAGCCUGAAUCAGUGUGUGUGUUAGUGGAAGCGUCUGGAAAGGCGCGCGAUACAGGGUGACAGCCCCGUACACAAAAAUGCACAUGCUGUGAGCUCGAUGAGUAGGGCGGGACACGUGGUAUCCUGUCUGAAUAUGGGGGGACCAUCCUCCAAGGCUAAAUACUCCUGACUGACCGAUAGUGAACCAGUACCGUGAGGGAAAGGCGAAAAGAACCCCGGCGAGGGGAGUGAAAAAGAACCUGAAACCGUGUACGUACAAGCAGUGGGAGCACGCUUAGGCGUGUGACUGCGUACCUUUUGUAUAAUGGGUCAGCGACUUAUAUUCUGUAGCAAGGUUAACCGAAUAGGGGAGCCGAAGGGAAACCGAGUCUUAACUGGGCGUUAAGUUGCAGGGUAUAGACCCGAAACCCGGUGAUCUAGCCAUGGGCAGGUUGAAGGUUGGGUAACACUAACUGGAGGACCGAACCGACUAAUGUUGAAAAAUUAGCGGAUGACUUGUGGCUGGGGGUGAAAGGCCAAUCAAACCGGGAGAUAGCUGGUUCUCCCCGAAAGCUAUUUAGGUAGCGCCUCGUGAACUCAUCUCCGGGGGUAGAGCACUGUUUCGGCAAGGGGGUCAUCCCGACUUACCAACCCGAUGCAAACUGCGAAUACCGGAGAAUGUUAUCACGGGAGACACACGGCGGGUGCUAACGUCCGUCGUGAAGAGGGAAACAACCCAGACCGCCAGCUAAGGUCCCAAAGUCAUGGUUAAGUGGGAAACGAUGUGGGAAGGCCCAGACAGCCAGGAUGUUGGCUUAGAAGCAGCCAUCAUUUAAAGAAAGCGUAAUAGCUCACUGGUCGAGUCGGCCUGCGCGGAAGAUGUAACGGGGCUAAACCAUGCACCGAAGCUGCGGCAGCGACGCUUAUGCGUUGUUGGGUAGGGGAGCGUUCUGUAAGCCUGUGAAGGUGUACUGUGAGGUAUGCUGGAGGUAUCAGAAGUGCGAAUGCUGACAUAAGUAACGAUAAAGCGGGUGAAAAGCCCGCUCGCCGGAAGACCAAGGGUUCCUGUCCAACGUUAAUCGGGGCAGGGUGAGUCGACCCCUAAGGCGAGGCCGAAAGGCGUAGUCGAUGGGAAACAGGUUAAUAUUCCUGUACUUGGUGUUACUGCGAAGGGGGGACGGAGAAGGCUAUGUUGGCCGGGCGACGGUUGUCCCGGUUUAAGCGUGUAGGCUGGUUUUCCAGGCAAAUCCGGAAAAUCAAGGCUGAGGCGUGAUGACGAGGCACUACGGUGCUGAAGCAACAAAUGCCCUGCUUCCAGGAAAAGCCUCUAAGCAUCAGGUAACAUCAAAUCGUACCCCAAACCGACACAGGUGGUCAGGUAGAGAAUACCAAGGCGCUUGAGAGAACUCGGGUGAAGGAACUAGGCAAAAUGGUGCCGUAACUUCGGGAGAAGGCACGCUGAUAUGUAGGUGAAGCGACUUGCUCGUGGAGCUGAAAUCAGUCGAAGAUACCAGCUGGCUGCAACUGUUUAUUAAAAACACAGCACUGUGCAAACACGAAAGUGGACGUAUACGGUGUGACGCCUGCCCGGUGCCGGAAGGUUAAUUGAUGGGGUCAGCGCAAGCGAAGCUCUUGAUCGAAGCCCCGGUAAACGGCGGCCGUAACUAUAACGGUCCUAAGGUAGCGAAAUUCCUUGUCGGGUAAGUUCCGACCUGCACGAAUGGCGUAAUGAUGGCCAGGCUGUCUCCACCCGAGACUCAGUGAAAUUGAACUCGCUGUGAAGAUGCAGUGUACCCGCGGCAAGACGGAAAGACCCCGUGAACCUUUACUAUAGCUUGACACUGAACAUUGAGCCUUGAUGUGUAGGAUAGGUGGGAGGCUUUGAAGUGUGGACGCCAGUCUGCAUGGAGCCGACCUUGAAAUACCACCCUUUAAUGUUUGAUGUUCUAACGUUGACCCGUAAUCCGGGUUGCGGACAGUGUCUGGUGGGUAGUUUGACUGGGGCGGUCUCCUCCUAAAGAGUAACGGAGGAGCACGAAGGUUGGCUAAUCCUGGUCGGACAUCAGGAGGUUAGUGCAAUGGCAUAAGCCAGCUUGACUGCGAGCGUGACGGCGCGAGCAGGUGCGAAAGCAGGUCAUAGUGAUCCGGUGGUUCUGAAUGGAAGGGCCAUCGCUCAACGGAUAAAAGGUACUCCGGGGAUAACAGGCUGAUACCGCCCAAGAGUUCAUAUCGACGGCGGUGUUUGGCACCUCGAUGUCGGCUCAUCACAUCCUGGGGCUGAAGUAGGUCCCAAGGGUAUGGCUGUUCGCCAUUUAAAGUGGUACGCGAGCUGGGUUUAGAACGUCGUGAGACAGUUCGGUCCCUAUCUGCCGUGGGCGCUGGAGAACUGAGGGGGGCUGCUCCUAGUACGAGAGGACCGGAGUGGACGCAUCACUGGUGUUCGGGUUGUCAUGCCAAUGGCACUGCCCGGUAGCUAAAUGCGGAAGAGAUAAGUGCUGAAAGCAUCUAAGCACGAAACUUGCCCCGAGAUGAGUUCUCCCUGACUCCUUGAGAGUCCUGAAGGAACGUUGAAGACGACGACGUUGAUAGGCCGGGUGUGUAAGCGCAGCGAUGCGUUGAGCUAACCGGUACUAAUGAACCGUGAGGCUUAACCUUACAACGCCGAAG
rnacentral:rRNA from 1 species